rnacentral:rRNA from 1 species
GACGAACGCUGGCGGCGUGCUUAACACAUGCAAGUCGAACGGAAAGGCCCUGCUUUUGUGGGGUGCUCGAGUGGCGAACGGGUGAGUAACACGUGAGUAACCUGCCCUUGACUUUGGGAUAACUUCAGGAAACUGGGGCUAAUACCGGAUAGGAGCCCCCCCUCCAUGGGGGGGGUGGGAAAUUUUCGCCGGUUGGGGAUGACCUCGCGGCUUAUCAGCUUGUUGGUGGGGUAGUGGCUUACCAAGGCUUCGACGGGUAGCCGGCCUGAGAGGGUGACCGGCCACAUUGGGACUGAGAUACGGCCCAGACUCCUACGGGAGGCAGCAGUGGGGGAUAUUGCACAAUGGGCGGAAGCCUGAUGCAGCAACGCCGCGUGCGGGAUGACGGCCUUCGGGUUGUAACCCGCUUUCGCCUGUGACGAAGCGUGAGUGACGGUAAUGGGUAAAGAAGCACCGGCUACCUACGUG